rnacentral:rRNA from 1 species
CCUACGGGUGGCUGCAGUGAGGAAUAUUGGACAAUGGGCGCAAGCCUGAUCCAGCCAUGCCGCGUGCAGGAAGAAGCAUCUAUGGUGUGUAAACUGCUUUUGUACAGGAAGAAACACCCCGACGUGUCGGGACUUGACGGUACUGUAAGAAUAAGGAUCGGCUAACUCCGUGCCAGCAGCCGCGGUAAUACGGAGGAUCCAAGCGUUAUCCGGAAUCAUUGGGUUUAAAGGGUCCGUAGGCGGUUUGGUAAGUCAGUGGUGAAAGCCCGCAGCUC